CUAAAUACUACCCAGUGACCGAUAGCGUAUAGUACUGUGAAGGAAAGGUGAAAAGGACCCCGGGAGGGGAGUGAAAUAGAACCUGAAACCUUGUGCCUACAAGCACAUAGAGCACAUCAACGUGUGAUAUGGUACUUUUUGUAGAACGGUCCGGCGAGCGAUUGUAUGUUGCGAGCUUAAGGUCUUAAGGACUGGAGGCGUAGCGAGAGCGAGUCUGAACAGGGCGUUCAGUAACAUGCAAUGGGCCCGAAACCGGGUGACCUACCCAUGAUCAGGCUGAAGUGAAAGUAAAAUUUCAUGGAGGGCCGAACCGACCUCCGUUGAAAAGGCGGCGGAUGAAUUGUGGGUAGCGGAGAAAUUCCAAUCGAACUCGGAGAUAGCUGGUUCUCCCCGAAAUAGCUUUAGGGCUAGCCUCAUAUUAGAUACCCGGAGGUAAAGCACUGAAUGGCCUAGCGCCCGAGAGGGUAGCGAAGCCUAUCAAACUAAGAAUGCCGGAGUAUUGAUGUAUGGGAGUCAGACAGUGUGAGAUAAAUCUCAUUGUCAAAAGGGAAACAGCCCAGAUCUACAGCUAAGGUCCCAAAUUGUAUCUAAGUGGAAAACGAUGUGGAAAUACGCAGACAACCAGGAUGUUGGCUCAGAAGCAGCCACUCAUUUAAAGAGUGCGUAAUAGCUCACUGGUCGAGCGUCUCUGCGCGGAAAAUUUAACGGGGCUAAGAUACAAACCGAAGCUUAGGCUGCAUCGUAAGAUGCGGGGUAGGGGAGCGUUGUGUAAGCGGAGAAACAGUAGCGUAAGCGGCUGUGGAGUUUACAGAAGUGAGAAUGCCGGAAUGAGUAGCGCGAAUGUGGUGAGAAUCCACAUGGCCGGAAACCUCAGGUUUUUGGAGGAAGGUUCGUCCGCUCCAAGUUAGGCGGGAGCUAAGGUGAGGCCGAAAGGCGUAGCCGAUGCACAGACGGUAGAGAUUCCGUCCCCACCGAAAGAUUUAAGCACAGGGACACUUUUAGAAGGUCGGAGCCAGGUGUUGGUUCUGGUAGUGAUCGAGGGAAAUUUAGUACCGAAGUCCGGCUGGAUAAGAGGCGAGAAAAGCUGUGUGUAUAUCUAAGGUGCCCGUACCGCAAACCGACACAGGUAGGUAGGAAGAAGAUUCUAAGGCCAACGGGAGAAGGGUUGUUAAGGAACUCGGCAAGUUGACCCCGUAACUUCGGAAUAAGGGGUGCUCACGAGAGUGAGCCGCAGAGAAUAGGCCCAGGCAACUGUUUACCAAAAACACAGGUUUGUGCUAAAUCGAAAGAUGACGUAUACGAGCUGACGCCUGCCCGGUGCUGGAAGGUUAAAAGGAGAUGUGCAAGCAUUGAAUUGAAGCCCCAGUGAACGGCGGCCGUAACUAUAACGGUCCUAAGGUAGCGAAAUUCCUUGUCAGGUAAGUUCUGACCCGCAUGAAAGGCGUAAUGAUCUGGGCACUGUCUCAACAGCCCGCCCGGCGAAAUUGUAGUACCGGUGAAGAUGCCG
rnacentral:rRNA from 1 species